rnacentral:rRNA from 1 species
AUUGAACGCUGGCGGCAGGCUUAACACAUGCAAGUCGAGCGGAGAUGAGGUGCUUGCACCUUAUCUUAGCGGCGGACGGGUGAGUAAUGCUUAGGAAUCUGCCUAUUAGUGGGGGACAACAUUCCGAAAGGAAUGCUAAUACCGCAUACGUCCUACGGGAGAAAGCAGGGGAUCUUCGGACCUUGCGCUAAUAGAUGAGCCUAAGUCGGAUUAGCUAGUUGGUGGGGUAAAGGCCUACCAAGGCGACGAUCUGUAGCGGGUCUGAGAGGAUGAUCCGCCACAAUGGGAAUGAGACACGGCCCAGACUCCUACGGGAGGCAGCAGUGGGGAAUAUUGGACAAUGGGGGAAACCCUGAUCCAGCCAUGCCGCGUGCGUGAAGAAGGCCUUAUGGUUGUAAAGCACUUUAAGCGAGGAGGAGGCUACUGAGACUAAUACUCUUGGAUAGUGGACGUUACUCGCAGAAUAAGCACCGGCUAACUCUGUGCCAGCCGCCGCCGUAA